GAAACCACAAGAGAGCAGAAAGAUUUGAGUUUCCCCUUUGGGGAAAAAGCAAUUCCUGCUAUUCCAGAAGAACUAGAGCCGCAGCCAGUCUGCCCUCCCACGUGCCCUUCUCCCAGGGUUUCUUGGCAGAAGCCAUCAUGGCAGGAUGACUGGAGGAUGCCUGCACGGUAGAGCUUUCCCCAGGGAGGAAGGUGGGUCAACACAGAUAUCACUGGGGCAGGAGGGAUAUCCAGGCAUAGCUGGCUUUUUGUAUGACCCCGAAUUCUUGUGCAUUAGAACUAACUAGCUUCCUGGCUUCCCACUGCCUUCUCUCCUGAGCAGCCUGGAUUGAGUCUCCUCAGCAGGGCCUGGUUCGACUGGUGGCUCUCAGCCUCUCCCUCAGGGAGUGAGUGCAUGCGCUCACUUUUUCCAGUGGGCUUCUCGGUCUGAUUUAAUGGAUAUACCAGGACUGAUGACACAUCGGCACGGGAUCUUUCUUUUGCUUCUUGGGAUGAACAGGGAGCCCCUCCUAUCCUCAGUGCCUGCACCUCUCUCCAGACCCAAGACCCCAGAAAGGAGAGAAAGGAAAGGAGACAAUGGACACCUGGUACCCUACUGUGCAGCUC
ensembl:lncRNA